rnacentral:rRNA from 1 species
UACGGGGGGGGCAAGCGUUGUUCGGAAUUACUGGGCGUAAAGGGCUCGUAGGCGGCCAACUAAGUCGGAUGUGAAAUCCCCAGGCUUAACUUGGGAACUGCAUCCGAUACUGGAUGGCUUGAGGGUUGGAGGGGAGAGUGGAAUUCCCGGUGGAGCGGUGAAAUGCGUAGAGAUCGGGAAGAACGCCGGCGGCGAAAGCGACUCUCUGGUCAACUUCUGACGCUGAGGCGCGAAAGCUAGGGGAGCAAACGGG